rnacentral:lncRNA from 1 species
AUUCUUUGAAGUAAUUAGAAUGGUAAUUUCUGAGAUCUAAAGGAAAGGAUAAAUGGGGCAUCAUUGAUUAAUGGAAAUAGUUUCAUUUUUGCAAGAUGAAGAGAACUAUGGAAAUAGACUGUAGCAAUGGCCCAUAUCAUUGUGAGUGUUUUACGACACUGAGCUGUGCAUCUAAAAUGAUGCAAAGGAUAAAUUUUAUAUUAGGUCUACUUCACUACAAUAAAAAUGUGGGUGGAGAAGGAAAGAGUAACCACCAAAGAUUAUGAAUACAAUAUUCAGCAUGCGAUACACAGCUGAAGCAGUGUAGAAAUAAGUGUAUAAGCCCAAGUGAGAAGACAAAAUAAAGCCAGUGAAAUGACUCAGCAGGUAAGGUGCUUGCUACCAAGUCUGACUGAGUUCAUUCCCAGGACCCACACUGUGGAAGGAAAGAACUAACUCCCUUGGGCUGUCUCUGAACUCCAGACAAGAGUUGUGAUAUGUUCAUACACACACACACACUCAUACACUCUCACACACACACUCAUCACACUCUCACACACAUUCUCUCACACACUUAUACUCUCACACACUCACACUCUCACACUCUCACACACUCUCUCACACACACUCACAUUCACUCACAUUCUCUCACACACACUCACAUGCUCACACACACACACACACACACACACUCUCACACACACUCACACCCACAUUCUCUCUCACACACUCACAUGCUCACACGCUCACUCACACUCACACACUCACAUGCUCACACACACACACACACACACACUCUCACACACACUCACACCCACAUUCUCUCUCACACACUCACAUGCUCACAUGCUCACUCACACUCACACACUUUCCCAUUCAAACACACUCACACUCACACACCCACACACUCUCACACACACUCACACACUCACACUCACUCGCAUUGUCUCACACACUCACAUGCUCACACACUCACACUCACACACUCACAUUCAAACACACUCACACACUCACUCUCUCUUACACACUUGCACACUCACACACUCUCAAACUCACACACUCUCACACUCACACACUCUCACACACUCAUGCACUCUUACUCUCACACAUGUUCUCUCACACAUAUUGUCUCACACACAUACACUCUCACACUGUCAGACACACUCUCUCUCUCUCUCUCUCUCUCUCUCUCUCACACACACACACACACACACACACACACAAUACAAUUAAAGAACACAGUAACAGGCCCAAAUAAAAUAGAAGGCAGAAAACACAGAAUAUGUCAAGAGUAUGAAACAGAAAACAUGGGAGGCCAGGACAGUCUAUGGGACCUCUGGCAGUGGAACCAGUCUUUAUCCCUAGUGCACGGACUUUGGGAGACCAUUCCCCAUAGAGGGAUACUCUCUCAGCCUAGACACAUGGGGGAGGACCUAGGCUUUGUCCCAAUGAUGUGA